CUGCCCACUGAUUGAAGGGCCGCGGUAUUUUGACCGUGCAAAGGUAGCAUAAUCAUUAGUUUCUUGAUUAGAGACUGGAAUGAAUGGUUGGAUGAAAUAUAUUCAGUUGAAUUUAAUAAUUAGGUAAAAAAGCUUAAAUAUUUUUUUGGGACGAGAAGACCCUAUAGAGUUUUUAAUAUUUUAUUGGGGCGAUAGGAAGAUAUAAAACUUAUUAUGGAUCCAUUUGAUUUUAAGACUAAAUUACCUUAGGGAUAACAGCGUAAUCUUUUUUGAAAGUUCUAAUUGAGAGAGGGGAUUGCGACCUCGUGUGGGAUUAAAAA
rnacentral:rRNA from 1 species